UGACCCCGUCUUGAAACACGGACCAAGGAGUCUAGCGUGUGCGCGAGUCAUUGGGUGUAAAACCUAAAGGCGUAAUGAAAGUGUCAGAGUGCGCUUGCGUACUCAGUGGGAGGAUGAGCUCCCGGCCUUUCGGCCGGCGCUCCGCACUCCCGGGGCGUUUCAUUCUCAUUGCGAGUCGAAACGCACCAGGAGCGCACACGCUGGUACCCGAAAGAUGGUGAACUAUGCCUGGCCAGGACGAAGCCAGGGGAAACCCUGGUGGAGGUCCGAAGCGAUUCUGACGUGCAAAUCGAUCGUCUGAGCUGGGUAUAGGGGCGAAAGACCAAUCGAACCAUCUAGUAGCUGGUUCCCUCCGAAGUUUCCCUCAGGAUAAGCUA
rnacentral:rRNA from 1 species